CAGUAGCCGCGGGAAUACGUAGGGUGCAAGCGUUAAUCAGAAUUACUGGCGUAAAGCGUGCGCAGGCGGUUCUAUAAGACAGAUGUGAAAUCCCCGGGCUCAACCUGGGAACUGCAUUUGUGACUGUAGAGCUGGAGUGCGGCAGAGGGGGAUGGAAUUCCGCGUGUAGCGGUGAAAUGCGUAGAUAUGCGGAGGAACACCGAUGGCGAAGGCAAUCCCCUGGGCCUGCACUGACGCUCAUGCACGAAAGCGUGGGGAGCAAACAGGAUUAGAUACCCCCGUAGUCCCUGUCUCUUAUACC
rnacentral:rRNA from 1 species